rnacentral:rRNA from 1 species
GAUGAACGCUGGCGGCGUGCCUAAUACAUGCAAGUCGAGCGAACGGACGAGAAGCUUGCUUCUCUGAUGUUAGCGGCGGACGGGUGAGUAACACGUGGAUAACCUACCUAUAAGACUGGGAUAACUUCGGGAAACCGGAGCUAAUACCGGAUGAUAUUUUGAACCACAUGGUUCAAAAGUGAAAGACGGUCUUGCUGUCACUUAUAGAUGGAUCCGCGCUGCAUUAGCUAGUUGGUAAGGUAACGGCUUACCAAGGCAACGAUGCAUAGCCGACCUGAGAGGGUGAUCGGCCACACUGGAACUGAGACACGGUCCAGACUCCUACGGGAGGCAGCAGUAGGGAAUCUUCCGCAAUGGGCGAAAGCCUGACGGAGCAACGCCGCGUGAGUGAUGAAGGUCUUCGGAUCGUAAAACUCUGUUAUUAGGGAAGAACAUAUGUGUAAGUAACUGUGCACAUCUUGACGGUACCUAAUCAGAAAGCCACGGCUAACUACGUGC